CUGCUAAGGUUUCCACUACAGAUGCAAGAAAAAAGUGUCCUUAUGCUUUCUGUCUGAUUGUGGCAUCCGAGAUUGAAUGGGGGAAUACAGGG
ensembl:snoRNA